GAUUGACCGGGGUCAUGCAUGCUUUUCCUGCUCCUUGCACUUCCCAAGAACUCAGAGAGAGGGAGACAUCUUUUGUAUAUGGUCAACUCAGCUACAGGCUGUGUUUUUCGAGGUUGGUGAAAAUCACUUUGAGAUGUUGCUGAACUGAACAACAUGUUGAAGGCACUCUUAGUUCUCUUCCUGGUUUGCAUGGUAAUCGCUGCUGUUACAAGCACCAGAAUGUACGGCGGUUACGGAGGAUAUGGGGGAUAUAGAGGAGGAUAUAUGGGAGGAUAUGGUUAUGGAUAUCCAGGAAGGUGGGCCGGCAGCUACAUCGGUGGAUGGUAACUAAAAAGAGUGUGGGCUGCGCUUGAAGAAUCUGCUGACAGAAAACGAGUUUAAUAAGUGACGUCGUGUAUCAACAUGUAUUGUAAAAAAUAUAUAUAUAUAUCACUGUCGUGUAUCAACAUGUAUUGUAAACAAAGUACACGCUGUCGUGUAUCAACAUGUAUUGUAAACAAAGUACACGUGCAGAAUAAAACCAUUUGUCAUAGA